AUGAACAGCUCGCUGUUUCGCAGGACAGCACU
rnacentral:scRNA from 1 species